rnacentral:tRNA from 1 species
AAAAAGAUAAGCUAAUAAAGCUACUGGGCUCAUACCCCAAUUAUAAAGGUCCCAACCCUUUUCUUCUUA